rnacentral:misc_RNA from 1 species
GAGGGAGUCUCGUACACAAGGAUAUGAGCUAGAGCCACAUCCUUCACGUGUACGUAUGCCUGAACGGAAUUGGCAUACGUCUUAGCUGAUCCAGUCAAGUACUUCAGUAUAUGAAUUAUGCUCGCAUUAAUGGUGGAUUGCAACAAUGGCCCUAGCACCAGCACUGGAUUCACCACCACCAAAUCCACCCCCUUCUCCUUCGCAACCU